GACAGAGGGUGCAAACGUUGUUCGGAAUUACUGGGCGUAAAGAGCGUGUAGGCGGUUCGGCAAGUCGGGUGUGAAAGCCCUGGGCUUAACCUAGGAAGUGCACUCGAAACUGCCAAGCUUGAGUUCUGGAGAGGAAGGCGGAAUUCUCGGUGUAGAGGUGAAAUUCGUAGAUAUCGAGAGGAACACCGGUGGCGAAGGCGGCCUUCUGGACAGCAACUGACGCUGAGACGCGAAAGCGUGGGGAGCAAACGGG
rnacentral:rRNA from 1 species